GGAACGCGCGAUUGGGGAUAUGGAAACUAAUUGGGGAUAUGAAUUACUUCCCCCAACCAAAAGUGUCUGUUAAGGGGUGUUUUUUGUGGCGAAAGUAUUAAAACACCCUUAGAUUAAUUAAAAAACAUUAUGAAAAGACUGUUAUACCCUUUCUCCUAAAACUUAAAAUCAAAAACCAAACCAAAUAUCCCCAUUUACACCAUCAGUUCCGGCAUUCUUAGUUAGGGUUAGGUUUCGAUUUUUUUUCUUCAUCUUCUUCAUCGUUCACACCAUCGUUCUUCAUCGACGAUUAAUCGUUAAAUAAAAAAAAAAAUCGUCGAUUAACCUACCCGAAUCAUAACCAAGCCUCCACGAAAAAAAACAACUUCCCAAUCGAACCCAAGAUCGAUUGCUCAACAGAAAUUAAAAGAAAUACUUGGUUUGAUUGCUCAAGAGGAAGAAGACGAAGAAGCAGCGUUAUCGGACGAUCAACUACUUGCAAAGAUGGCUUCUGUGAGAAGAUCUAAAGCAAAGGAAUCCAAAGCAAAGGAGGCUAACAGAGGAAAAGCUAAAGCUGUUGUCACUAAGAAAAAAAGGAAGGAUGGUCUUGAUACUCCUCAUUCUCUGCCUCCUCGAGGGAAUAACAAAAAGCGUUUGGGUGUUGAGACAAGAGGGGAUAUUUGGGAGAGUGGUCGUGAUUGUAGUAAAAUCGUAAAUCCGUGAAUCUGCCGGAGCUGUUGAGGAGGAAGAUGAGGAAGAGGAGCAAGAUGAGCAAGAUGAAGAGGAAAGUGAGGAGGAAGAUAAUGAGAUUAAUCCAAGUCAAGUGGUAAUGGAACAAGUUGGUUCAAGUCAACAACCGACACAAGGCAAGGGCACAAGCAAAGUAAAAGUUAAAGGUUAACACCUUCCUCAUAUUGAUGACAUGAUACGUGACCUUGAUCGUGGUAAAAUUUGGGGUGCAGCUUCUUUUGAUCCGGGGCAUCUAUUUGGCUACAAGGACUCUUGGGCUCGUACUAUCUAUCAAACCUAUGUUCAUAAGAAGGUUGUGCGUUGUUGCCGAAAUCAAGCCUCCUCUCAUUGGGAUUUGUCUAAGGAAUGUGAAGAGGUCCAAACAUUAGUAAAGGAUUCUGGUCUAUAUACUUUGGUUGAAAAUUAUGUGAAGCCAG